AUGCUACGUUCCCCAACAGCAUCCACUCACAUUUGGCAACACAACUGGAUACCGCGAGACAAUUACAAGCGCCCUAUAACAGCUCUCGUCCAAAAUCCACCGGAAAGAGUAUCACAACUCAUUGAUGUCACAUCGGCUAGCUGGAAUGAGGGCCUGGUCCAAACGAUUUUCACUAUCUUCGACGCCGAGGCAAUUCUCAAGAUCCCUUUGUGCACGCGUCGUGUUGACAAUUUUUGGGUGUGGCAUCAUGACCCUAGGGGGAGAUUCAGUGUUCGGUCUGCCUAUCACAUGAUCCUCAAGACUAAGCACGACAGGGAAGCAUGGUUGCAUGAGGAGGGAGGCACCUCAUAUGAGUUCAGCGAGACCAGCAACUGGUCCAUGAUUUGGCAUAUCCAAGUACCCUCGAAACUCAGGAUGUUUCUAUGGCGAUUGGCCCGGCAAUCUAUGCCAACUGGGACCGUUUUGCAUCACCGUCAUAUGUCAACCGAAAACUCUUGCUUACUCUAUGGAGCCGUGGACACAUGGAAGCAUGCACUGAUUACAUGUCCUAUGUCUGCCAGUAUAUGGGCGCUGGCUCCGGAGGAUUUGGUGCAACACAUGAUAGAACGAGGAGAGGAGAACCCGAAGGAUCGGCUCUUUGCUAUACAUGAAAUAUUAACAAAAGAGCAUUUUGAUCGUUUGGUGGUGUCUCUUUGGGCAAUAUGGGGAGUCGGGAGGAAGGCCAUUCAUGAGAGUAUCUUCCAAUCUCCUCACUCGGUCGACAGUUUCAUAUCUAGCUACUUGGGGGAGUUGCAGGUGAUCAAUGCCAAAGUCCCGGCUGUCAUGACGCAGACACGUGAACACAAGGGGUGGCUGGCCUCGUCGGCGGGGAACGCCAAGAUGAACGUUGAUGCGGCUGUGUCUAGGCAAGGGUUCGGCUCAAUUGGAGUGAUUUGUAUAAAUCAUGAAGGCAUGUUCAUCGGCGCAUCAACUUGUGGCUUCAGCAACAUUGUAGACCCACCGACCCUCGAAGCUCUAGCCAUUAGAGAAGCCUUGGCACUGGCGGAUGAUCUAUAUUUGAGGCGGGUUGAAGUUGCAUCGGAUUGCAAAGUGGUCAUGGAAGACUUACAGAAGGACAAUCUUGCGAGCUACGGUGCAAUUGUACCGUAG
rnacentral:rRNA from 1 species